rnacentral:rRNA from 1 species
UCACGAUGUCUUCGGAUGUUGUGAUGAAAGGAGCAAUUCGCUCUUGGAGGAGCCCGCGGCUGAUUAGCUAGUUGGUGAGGUAAUGGCUCACCAAGGCUGCGAUCAGUAGCCGGUCUGAGAGGACGGUCGGCUACACUGGAACUGAGACACGGUCGAGACUCCUACGGGAGGCAGCAGUGGGGAAUUUUUCGCAUUGGGGGCAACCCUGACGAAGCAACGCGGCGUGGGUGAUGAAGUAUCUCGGUACGUAAAACCCUUUCGACGCGGAAGAAAACCGCAAGGUUUGACGGUACCCGUAGAAGAAGCCCCGGCUAACUCCCUGCCAGCAGCCGCGGUAAUACGGGGGGGGCAAGCGUUGUUCGGAAUUACUGGGCGUAAAGGGCGCGUAGGCGGUUUGUUAAGUUGAAUGUGAAAACUCUGGGCUUAACCCAGAGCCUGCAUUCAAUACUGGCAGGCUAGAGUUCUGGAGGGGAUAGCGGAAUUCCUGGUGUAGCGGUGAAAUGCGUAGAUAUCAGGAGGAACACCGGUGGCGAAGGCGGCUAUCUGGACAGAGUCUGACGCUGAGGCGCGAAAGCUAGGGGAGCAAACAGGAUUAGAUACCCUGGUAGUCCUAGCCCUAAACGAUGGAUACUUGCUGUAACUGGGAUUGAAUCCAGUCGUGGCGAAGCUAACGCAUUAAGUAUCCCGCCUGGGGAGUACGGUCGCAAG